AUGACAAACAGAAUGUUUAGUUUUAAGAUCAAAACAGUUUGGGAGAAGCCAUUUGAACAACUAUAAUGAUAAAACAGCAGUUAAACUGCAAGUCCACAUCAUCAGAAUCAUCAACAAUGGAAUGGUCUAAGUGACUCUGCAAUAAGGCAAUGACCCAGAAGAAGAAAAAAUUUAGUUAGUUUCUGGUCCAGUCGAAAGUCCUGAUGAAACAUGCUGAAACAUUGGUUGGAGGACUAAAGGGACAGACAGCAUCAGCUUUGUCUGUUGUGCUGAAAACCAUUCUAGACACAUGACUUUUUGCAAGUUUUCACUCUUUUUCCCUUGUAGAACACUAAUAACAAACAAGCUAACAAUAAAUAUAAACUUCACAAGGGUUGUUUUGGUAGAUAUAGGUGAGAUAUCACUUAAUAUUCAUAUUUAUAAUAAAUAUUUUCCAUCUCUACUGUUAAAAUGGAAAUACCUGUUCCUGCUGCAAGCUAUUAUCGUUGUGUUUUUAUUUUGUUUUAUGUACUGAUUGCUGCCAUUGUUUUGUACAUAAUUGUAGUUUUACUCUGGACUUGACUGUAUCAUAUUAUUUAUACUUAUUUAUAAAAAUACAGUUCAGAAUUCCUUUUUAAUCAACUGUAACUCUUGUUGGAAAUUUCAAUAUUAUGCCUGUAUCACAGGAGUAUUUUUUCAAGUUGCUUAUUCUUUUUAAUUGUAUUCCAAGAAUACCCAUACCUUCUAAAAAUUGUUAUACUCCUUAUUAUUGACGUCAUUAUUUUAAGAGUGUUAUUAACUAGUGUAUAGAAAUGUUACAAUUCAGUGAAUAAAAUUUAAAAAUAAAACAGUAGCACCCUAGCAUUUACUCUUUGGAAGUUCAACUUUUCUUUUAUUG